ensembl:lncRNA
GGCAGGGUAGCCUAGUGGUUAGAGUGUAGAGGUGGCAGGGUAGCCUAGUGGUUAGAGUGUAGAGGUGGCAGGGUAGCCUAGUGGUUAGAGUGUAGAGGUGGCAGGUAGUCUAGUGGUUCGAGUGUAGAGGUGGCAGGGUAGCCUAGUGGUUAGAGUGUAGAGGUGGCAGGUAGCCUAGUGAUUAGAGUGUAGAGGUGGCAGGGUAGCCUAGUGGUUAGAGUGUAGAGGCGGCAGGGUAGCCUAGUGAUUAGAGUGUAGAGGUGGCAGGUAGCCUAGUGGUUAGAGUGUAGAGGUGGCAAGUAGCCUAGUGGUUAGAGUGUAGAGGUGGCAGGGUAGCCUAGUGGUUAGAGUGUAGAGGUGGCAGGUAGCCUAGUGGUUAGAGUGUAGAGGCGGCAGGGUAGCCUAGUGAUUAGAGUGUAGAGGCGGCAGGGUAGCCUAGUGGUUAGAGUGUAGAGGUGGCAGGUAGCCUAGUGGUUAGAGUGUAGAUGUGGCAGAUAGCCUAGUGGUUAGAGUGUAGAGGUGGCAGGUAGCCUAGGGGUUAGAGAGUAGAGGCGGCAGGUAGCCUAGUGGUUAGAGUGUUGGACUAGU